UUAGCAGAAGCCAAAAUAAAGAGGCAUUCCAUUGUUAAUGGAAAAACUGGCUUUUAGCCCUACUAAA
rnacentral:tRNA from 1 species